rnacentral:rRNA from 1 species
UACAGAGGUCUCAAGCGUUGUUCGGAUUCAUUGGGCGUAAAGGGUGCGUAGGCGGCGCGGUAAGUCGGGUGUGAAAUCUCGGAGCUUAACUCCGAAACUGCAUUCGAUACUGCCGUGCUUGAGGACUGGAGAGGAGACUGGAAUUUACGGUGUAGCGGUGAAAUGCGUAGAUAUCAGGAGGAACACCGGUGGCGAAGGCGGUUCUCUGGGCCUUACCUGACGCUGAGGAGCGAAAGCGUGGGGGAGCGAACAGG